rnacentral:rRNA from 1 species
UUCUAAUAGAAAUAAUUAUUAGUAAAAUCUGCUCAAUGAAUAUUAAAUAGCCGCAACCUAGUUGUGCUAAGGUAGCAUAAUCAUUUGUCUUUUAAUUAAAGACUAGAACGAAAGAUUUCACAUUUAAAUUACUAUUAAAUUAUAAUAAUUUGAAAUUAUUCUAAAUAUAAAAAAAUAUUUAUAAAUAAAAAAGACGAUAAGACCCUAUCGAACUUAACUUAAGUUUAACUGGGGUAGUUAAUUAAAAAUUAUUUUAAUUUAAUUUAAAAAUACAAUGAUCCAAUAAACUUGAUUAUAUAAUCAAGUUACCAUAGGGAUAACAGCGUAAUAAAUUUUUAAAGAUCUUAUAAAAAAAAAAGAUUACGACCUCGAUGUUGAAUAAUAGUACUAUUAUAAGCAAAUUUAUAAUAAGGAAGUCUGUUCGACUUUUAAUUAAUUACA